GUCAAUCACCCCGCCCUAAAGGGCGAGGCUUGUGGUGGCUAAAGCCGCAAGUCUGGGUUGACCAGCCUAAGCCCGCCUGACAGGGACGUUAAAAGGGGCUACGUUGCGUAGAGGUUCAAGACUCACCUUGGGGCGCUUCCUCAACUCCAAGCUCUGAA
rnacentral:sRNA from 19 species